CCCGAUGCGUCUGAAGGUACCUCCAAAGGAAGCUCCGGCUAACUCCGUGCCAGCAGCCGCGGUAAUACGGAGGGAGCAAACGUUGUUCGGAUUUACUGGGUGUAAAGGGUGCGUAGGCGGCUACGUGUGUCAGAGGUGAAAGCUCACGGCUCAACCGUGGAACUGCCUUUGAAACUGCGUAGCUUGAGUCCGAGAGAGGAUGGUGGAAUUCCUGGUGUAACGGUGAAAUGUGCAGAUAUCAGGAAGAACACCGGUGGCGAAGGCGGCCAUCUGGCUCGGUACUGACGCUGAGGCACGAAAGCUAGGGUAUCGAACGGGAUUAGAUACCCCGGUAGUCCUAGCCGUAAACGAUGUCCACUAGGUGUCGGAGGUCCUACCCCUUCGGUGCCGGAGCUAACGCAUUAAGUGGACCACCUGGGGAGUACGCUCGCAAGGGUGAAACUCAAAGGAAUUGACGGGGGCCCGCACAAGCGGUGGAGCAUGUGGUUUAAUUCGAUGCAACGCGAAGAACCUUACCUGGGCUUGACAUGCAGGGGACAGGUGUAGAGAUACACCCUUCUUCGGACUCCUGUACAGGUGCUGCAUGGCUGUCGUCAGCUCGUGUCGUGAAAUGUUGGGUUAAGUCCCGCAACGAGCGCAACCCUUGUCCUUAGUUGCCAGCACGUCAUGGUGGGAACUCUAGGGAGACUGCCGGUGACAAACCGGAGGAAGGUGGGGACGACGUCAAGUCAUCAUGGCCCUUACGUCCAGGGCUACACACGUGCUACAAUGGCACAUACAGAGGGCAGCGAACCCGCGAGGGGAAGCCAAUCCCAAAAAGUGUGCCUCAGUUCGGAUCGCAGUCUGCAACUCGACUGCGUGAAGUCGGAAUCGCUAGUAAUCGC
rnacentral:rRNA from 1 species